GGAUUACCUCAGUAACGGCGAGUGAAGCGGUAACAGCUCAAAUUUGAAAUCUGGCUCCUGCGGAGUCCGAGUUGUAAUUUGUAGAAGAUGCUUUGGGAGGUAGGCUCGGCCUAAGUUCCUUGGAACAGGACAUCAGAGAGGGUGAGAAUCCCGUAUGUGGCCGUGGCCUACGCCCGUGUAAAGCUCUUUCGACGAGUCGAGUUGUUUGGGAAUGCAGCUCAAAAUGGGUGGUAAAUUUCAUCUAAAGCUAAAUAUUGGCCAGAGACCGAUAGCGCACAAGUAGAGUGAUCGAAAGAUGAAAAGCACUUUGGAAAGAGAGUUAAACAGUACGUGAAAUUGUUGAAAGGGAAGCGCUUGCACCCAGACUUGGGCGUCGUCGAUCAUCCGAGGUUCUCCUCGGUGCACUCGGCGAGGCACAGGCCAGCAUCGGUUUGGAUGGUUGGAGAAAGGCUCUAGGAACGUAGCUCUCUUCGGGGAGUGUUAUAGCCUAGGGCGUAAUGCAGCCCAUCUGGACCGAGGACCGCGCCUUCGGGCUAGGAUGCUGGCGUAAUGGUUGCAAGCGACCC
rnacentral:rRNA from 1 species